ensembl:lncRNA
GGGAAAUCAGUAAAGUGAAUUAGGCAGUAAAAUAUAGAUUUAAACUAAACUAUGACUAUAAUGUGCGCACGGAACUUUCUUGGAGAAAUAAGCUUUCUGUGUGCAAGGAGAAAUUACAGGAUUUGUUAUUUCUGUCACGUAACAAAACUCAUCAUGUUGCAGAUAUAUUAUUGUUCCGUCUUUUUCAACUGGUUUUAUAUGAUGGCCCAAGCAGCCCCGAAGUGCAGAAUAGGUGCAUGAUUUGAAGGCUUUUUUGAAGAGGUUUUGCUGGGCAAAAGUGCCUGGCUGAAGUCCAUGAGUUGCUCUUCAGAUGGCCUCAAUGAUGGAUUAUUACUGGAACAGUUUUAGGAGGAGACUGUCACCUAUGCAAUCUUUGUGAUGUAAACCGUUGUUUAAAAAAAAUAAAAAAAUUUGUGCAGUAUGUUACACCUGUUUUUUUUUUUUUUCUUUUCAUGUAAUAAUGAUCAUAGUGCAGAAUAGUGCAUGAUUUGAAGGCUUUUUUGAAGAGGCUUUGCUGGGCAAAAGUGCCUGGCUGAAGUCCAUGUGUUGCUCUUCAGAUGGCCUCAAUGAGGCUGUAAUAUGUGGCAGUAGAUGGAUUAUUACUGGAGCACUUUAGGAGGAGACUGUCACCUAUGCAAUCUUUGUGAUGUAAACCGUUGUUUUUUUGUUUUUAAAUUUGAACCAAAUGGUCUUAUUAAUGUGUGCAGUAUGUUACACCUGUUGGGCUUUUUCUUUCUUUUCAUGUAAUAAUGAUCCAUAUAUACAUUUAGGACAGUUGCAGUUUUUGUUAUGACCAAGCUCCAUUAACAGUUCAGUAAGUAGCUUAAAUACAUAAGCAAAUUGUUCUCAAAUGGCAAAUGUCCAUUGUAGUGAAUUACCUGCACAACAGGGGUUCAUUAAUGAGAAGUGUGCCUUGGAGGUAAAGAGGAUAAAACUAUAUAGUGACGUAAGUGUUUGUGUAUGCUACCCCCUUGUGGCUAUUUUGAGUCACUACAGUUGUGGCAGAGGUCUUUUUUUUUUUUAACCCGCACUCUCUCUUCCUCAGCUGUCUCUGGGCCCGGUUCCCAGUCUUUUAAAAGGGGUAUUGGGGAAAGGGGGGUUGAUUUCAUGGCAUAUGAUUGUUUAGUCUCAGUUCCUAAGGGGUUCUACCCUCUCUUUCAAGUCUUUCUCGUGUGUCGAUGCAGUGUGAAGCACAGCAGUUGUGAAAAGAUUAUACAUGCACAAGCAUGAGGCCAUGACAUCAGAUGUCCUGAAAAUUACACCUAAAUUCACCUCUGAUUAUAGUGAUACGUAACAACAGAAUCUAUCCAAGUACUGCAGGAUUAGAUUUAAAUGAUAAUUAGUAUUUGUGAAUAUUUUAUACAGCUUGCAGUUACAACCAGGGGAACCUGAAAUAUGAGCUCGACAUUGGAACAGUUAACAUCUGUUCCAG